rnacentral:pre_miRNA from 1 species
GGCGGCGGCUCUAGAGAAAAAGAUGGGUUUAGGGUUAGGUAUUUUUUGUAUUUUUUUUUUGAUGUUGUCAAAAUUCCCCCCCCUCUUUUGUUUGAGUUGUGGACC